GGGCGUUCAGGCAAGUAACAGACCUUCGGGUACUGAGGAAAGUCCUGCCACCAUGGGUUCAACUCCCAUAACAGCCGUUAUGGUUGUGGCCGCCAACGCAAGUUGGGCAUCCGAAAGGGUGCGGCUCUGUCGGAAUAGACACGAGACCCCCGCGCGUAUGGAAUGAUAGAUGCGGAGAGAACUGGAGACAGUUGUCGCGUUAACCUCUUGACGUCACGCGUGGAAUGGAUGGAACGAGCAUCCCGGCCGGUGCAAGUCAAACGACGCUUAGUCGAAUGUUGCCCGCACGAUCACUGGAAACAGUGCGUGUGCACAAAAGCAGGCUUACGAACGUCC
rnacentral:RNase_P_RNA from 1 species